UACGUAGGGGGCAAGCGUUGUCCGGAUUUAUUGGGCGUAAAGAGCGUGUAGGCGGCUUUGCAAGUCCGUUGUGAAAACUCGAGGCUCAACCUCGAGACGCCGGUGGAAACUGCCAAAGCUAGAGUCCGGAAGAGGAGAGUGGAAUCCUGGUGUAGCGGUGAAAUGCGCAGAUAUCGAGGAGGAACACCGAUGGCGAAGGC
rnacentral:rRNA from 1 species